GUGGGGUGUUCUCCCUCAGUGGGGUGGAUCAGGACUUCAUGCGUGCGGCUGUGGGUUCUCUCUUCAGCUGCUAUUUAAGUCCUCAUGGUAGGCUGUAUAUAAGGAGGGAUCAGGGAGGCGUGAGAGGCUUUAAUACCCUGGGAUCUAGUCCUACACUGCUGCCAUAGCCCUCAGGGUUAAUGGGAUCUUCACCUGGGUCUCCGAUCUCCCCUGCGAUCCCUGCCGGAGUGUGUGG